rnacentral:rRNA from 1 species
UACGUAGGGGGCAAGCGUUGUUCGGAAUUACUGGGCGUAAAGCGCACGUAGGCGGACAUUUAAGUUGGAGGUGAAAGCCUUGGGCUCAACCCAAGAAUUGCCUUUGAUACUGGAUGUCUCGAGACCGGGAGAGGUGAGUGGAAUUCCGAGUGUAGAGGUGAAAUUCGUAGAUAUUCGGAAGAACACCAGUGGCGAAGGCGGCUCACUGGCCCGGUUCUGACGCUGAGGUGCGAAAGCGUGGGGAGCAAACAGG